GACGAACCGUGCGAACGUUAUUCGGAAUCACUGGGCUUAAAGCGCGUGUAGGCGGGCCGCCACGUCGGCUGCUGAAAUCCCCCGGCUCAACCGGGGAACGGGCACCGAUACGAGCGGCCUCGAGGGGGGUAGGGGGACCUGGAACUUCCGGUGGAGCGGUGAAAUGCGUUGAGAUCGGAAGGAACGCCCGUGGCGAAGGCGGCAUUCUGGACCAUUACUGACGCUGAGGAGCGAAAGCCAGGGGAGCAAACGGG
rnacentral:rRNA from 1 species